rnacentral:lncRNA from 9 species
AUGGAACCAUCCGAGAUGGACUCUCUAAUAUUUUCUGGGAGGAAUCAAGGGACUCCAAUGCUGGAAGCAAGGCCCCUGGAGGACCUCAGGGUGGUGCUGACAGCCCUUUGUGACUCAGGGACUCACCGGUGUCCGCCCAGGCAGUUCCCCUUUCCGUCGGCCUCAGGGAACUGCUCAGAUCUUCUCAUGAGAGGAAUCCCGACUGCUCCACAGACAGGUGCCAGCGUUCAGACCCUGAGGCUGCCUCUGGCUCCGCAAGUGUGGAUGUGCCCAGGCAGGUCUCAGGACGGAGCCUCGAGAAGCAGGAAAGGCCGUGUGGAUGGAGCCCCUGGGGACGGAGAGGAGGAGGAAGAUGGACUGGGUCGAGCAGAGGAGUCAUCUGAUUCACCGUACAGGACAGCGUCCAGCCUUCACGCCGGGACGUCCUCCAGGGACGCCGUCGGGAGUCACAGGCUUCAGGAAGCAGGGAGGCUGUCAGCCUCCCCUGCCUCCAUGAGGCUGGACGGGAUUGAACGCGACUCAGCAGGAGGCACGUGGACAUCGAGCCCAGGCUGCAGACCCAGAGGCACCGGCCUUCUUACCUUUGCAUCCAGUGGACGAGGAAGGAUCCUGCACAACAGCCUGAUGAAAAAUAGCACCAGCGUUCCGUCAUCCCUCGGGACACACAUCUCAGACCUCCUGAGCGGCCAGUGGGGCGUGUAGAGUGCGUACUGGCUGAGACGCCCGAUGCUCAGGCGACUGGGCACAUGAGAAACGGUCAGAUUUGUCACCGAGAAGAGGCUCCCCGUCGGACACGCACAGAAGCCAACCCACGGCACCAACUUUAGUAAGAGGAAGAGCGUUGCCGUGCGGUCAACCAGCAAGGAGCCCAGAAGCAAGGCUCUCCAACCUGUCUCCUCCAUCCAGAGGCUGGGUGGAGUUCAAGGAGUUGGGGAAGCUGACUGGCUAGUCUUGAGUCAGGCCAUAGAUGCUACCCCUGUGGCUGAAGCCAGAUGCUUCCCAUUGAAAGAGUUCCUGCCUCAUCAAGGGCGGCACUGGCAACUUUUCUGUUCUUUAGGUUCCGCAGACAGAAGAUUCAUGGUUCUGGGGUCGUCCUGGAGAUGUGGGCUUCUGUCUUGAACAGGUACCAGGUUGUCCCUGUAAAAUAACUCAAGAUUUGAUGAGUCAGCAACCUCCUCAAGGUGGCAAAACCAGUUGAAGCGGGUGCCGUUUCAAGGUAAGCAAUCAACAACCCACUGAAGGGGCCAAACCAGCGGAAACUGGUUCAUGAUUCACGUGCUGUUUCAGACCAACUCCUGAAACCACAGCCGAUGUGUCAUGACACACAAAUAAAGUCACUGCAACAUUGUGCUUGAACAUCAGGAAGGUGCAAAGAAAACGGCUCUUGGAUUUGUUCUUCCAUAAAUGGGACCAAGGCUGAGAGGCUCCUGUUAACCCAGACAAGUAAUGACAAAACUGCAAAUCGUCUCUGCAAAUUCAGCAGUGUUUUCCCUGAGCGCACCUCUGUGGGGCCAGCAGUUGAAGCGGUAGAGGAACUGGUUAAAAAUGCAGUGGACCUUCUACACAUAAUAAAUGCUGGGGAGGAGUUCCUGUUGUGGCUCAGUGGAAAUGAACCCAACUAUGAUCCAUGAGGAUACAGGUUCCGUCCCUGGCCCCACUCAGUGAGUUAAGGAUCCAGCACUGCUGUGAGCUGUGGUGUCAGUUGCAGAUGCAGUUCGGAUCUGGUGUUGCUGUGGCUGUGGUUUGUAGCUCCAAUUUGACCCCUGGCCUGGGAACUUCUAUAUGCUGCAGGUGUGGCCCUAAAAAUAAAAAAAAAAAAUACUGGAGAGGGUGUGGAGAAAAGGGAACCCUCCUACACUGUUGGUGGGAACAUAAAUUGGUACAACCACUAUGUAAACCAGUAUGGAGGUUCCUCAAAAAACUACACGUAGAACUACCAUGGGAUCCAGCAAUCCCAUACCUGGGCACACAUCUGGAAGAAACCCUAAUUGGAAAAGAUCCAAGCACCCCUACAUUCAUAGCAGCACUAUUCACAGUAGUCAAGACAUCGAAACCACCUGAAAGUCCAUCGACAGAGGGAUAAAGAAGAUGUGGUCCUUCGCCUCCGAAGGUUAAUCCCUGAGAAAGGGCCGGGGGACGCCUGGGAGGGGGGCUGGGCACCGAGACCUCGCCGCCGAAGGUUAGUCCCCGAGAAAGGGCCGGGGGGGCGCCGCCUGGGUGGGGGCUGGGCACCGAGACCUCGCCGCGGAAGGUUAGUCCCCGAGAGGGAGCCGGGGGACGCCUGGGUGGGGGCUGGGCACCGAGACCUCGCCGCGGAAGGUUAGUCCCCGAGAGGGAGCCGGGGGACGCCUGGGUGGGGGCUGGGCACCGAGACCUCACCUCCGAAGGUUAGUCCCCAAGAAAGGGCCGGGGGACGCCUGGGGGGGGGGGGGCUGGGCACCGAGACCUCGGCUCCAG